GACAGAGGAUGCAAGCGUUAUCCGGAAUGAUUGGGCGUAAAGCGUCUGUAGGUGGCGCCAUAAGUCGGGUGUGAAAUCUCGGGGCUUAACUCCGAAACUGCAUUCGAUACUGUGGUGCUCGAGGACUGGAGAGGAGACUGGAAUUCAUGGUGUAGCAGUGAAAUGCGUAGAGAUCAUGAGGAAGACCAGUGGCGAAGGCGGGUCUCUGGACAGUUCCUGACACUGAGGCACGAAGGCCAGGGGAGCAAACGGG
rnacentral:rRNA from 1 species